rnacentral:rRNA from 1 species
UACGUAGGGAGCAAGCGUUGUCCGGAAUCAUUGGGCGUAAAGCGCGCGUAGGCGGCCCUGUAAGUCCGCUGUGAAAGUCAAUGGCUCAACCUUUGAAAGCCGGUGGAUACUGCAGGGCUAGAGUCCGGAAGAGGCGAGUGGAAUUCCUGGUGUAGCGGUGGAAUGCGCAGAUAUCAGGAGGAACACCAAUAGCGAAGGCAGCUCGCUGGGACGGUACUGACGCUAAGGCGCGAAAGCGUGGGGAGCGAUCCGG